GCUUACGGCCACACCUCCCUGAGCACGCCCGAUCUCGUCUGAUCUCGGAAGCUAAGCAGGUCGGGCCCGGUUAGUACUUGGAUGGGAGACCCGCACUGGGAAUACCAGGUGCCUGUAAGCC
rnacentral:rRNA from 1 species